rnacentral:sRNA from 1 species
GUUCCGGCCCUGUGAGGACGUUGAGUGCGGCUCCGAGCGCUGCAGCAUCCUGGAGGCCUUUGACGCCUUCAUCUUCGCCUUCUUCGCGGUGGAGAUGGUCAUCAAGAUGGUGGCCUUGGGGCUGUUCGGGCAGAAGUGUUACCUGGGUGACACGUGGAACAGGCUGGAUUUCUUCAUCGUCGUGGCGGGCAUGAUGGAGUACUCAUUGGACGGACACAACGUGAGCCUCUCAGCUAUCAGGACCGUGCGGGUGCUGCGGCCCCUCCGCGCCAUCAACCGCGUGCCUAGCAUGCGGAUCCUGGUCACUCUGCUGCUGGACACGCUGCCUAUGCUCGGGAACGUCCUUCUGCUGUGCUUCUUCGUCUUCUUCAUUUUCGGCAUCGUUGGCGUCCAGCUCUGGGCUGGUCUCCUGCGGAACCGCUGCUUCCUGGACAGUGCCUUUGUCAGGUGCCCAGGCCCCACCCCCGUGAGGCCCCUGCCCAUAUGGCCCUGCCCACCAUGCACAUAAUGCAUUAUGUGGCUCCACCCAACACGCAGUCCCCCCCACCUCCCCAACACGCAGUCCCCCAGCCCCACCCCACGUGGCUCCACCCAACACGCAGUC